UUAUCUUUCCCCGAGGAAGUAGGGUCCUGGAAACUUAACUUGGGCUUCCAGAUGUUAUUAUGAGCCCCCGUUCCCCAAGUCUGCAUGCUUAUGGAGCGGUGAGUGUGUUUCUCUAUCUAACUUAGAAACUGGGGAGAUGUACCAACAACCCCCAACUCACUAGAAAACAAUAGAAAAAGGAAUGAUACUCAAAAUGUCAAUACAGCUAAAACUGAGAAGCACACCUAGGAGACCACAAGCAUCUGAAAGCCUGAUUGGUCAGAUCUGGAAAAAGAGUGUUCCAAAGCUCAUAAAGGAAUGGGAAGAGAGUUUAUCACACAUUUCAUUGAUCAGGAAUCUUUGCUGAAGAGUUGACAGCUGAGUGUAAGAGCCUGAGGGAAAGGAUGAAGCAUUGGGAAAUUGCUGCAUUCCUCUGAAGUGACAUCUGUGAGUGCUGAUUUAUGAUCUAACUGAAGGCCAUGUGUAGAAAUAAGGACAACCAUAUAUAUGUGUCUAGGACAACCGUAAUGGUGAAGAGACGGUCAACUCUCUGGAUGAAUCAAGGACCCUCACCUGGGACUUUAAGUAUCAUUUCCUCCUGCCGCCAUCUCUAUACACCUUUGACAGUGGUCUGGAGGACUACAGAGGUGGUGCGAGGCUACCUGAAGGAAGGAUUCUAGAAAAGUAGCUCUCCUCAGUUGGUAUCCACACUGCUGAAAAGUUAAGGGAUGCAGCUGUCUUUGACUCCGCCAUGCUCCUGGGCACUCCUGCUGCUGAUAUUGUCAAACCUCCUUCUGUGGAAGAGUGUGGCCUCUGUGCCCAAGUGUGAAGUAAUAAAUGGUCAAUGCCAGCUGACUCUCGAGCACUUGCUUAAUCGGGCACGUGGCCUAUCUAAGAACAUCAAUCACCUCACUUCAGAAAUAUUCAAUGAGUUUGAUGAAAAUUAUGCUUCAGGUCCAGUCUUAUCAGACAAAAUCCUCCGGCUAUGCUACAAAUAUUCCCUCCGUGUACCAUAUAAAACAGUGCAAGACCAAGAGAUUCAGGUCCUUUUGAACAUGACUAUAGGUAUGUUGAUUGGCUGGAACAACACUCUGAUGCAUGUAGUAGCAGAUAUUGCUGAUCUGGAGUCAAUUCCUGGUGUUGGAGCUUUUAUUUCUAAAGUCAGAGAGAUAGCUGCAAAAUUCAUAAGGUUAUCAACAGUACUAAAGGAAGUCAAGUCAUUACUCAACCUGCCCAAUAUCAGCACCCCUACUCCUUCAAGUACCCUGUCACACAGAUCUUCCCUCCAUUCCCCUCUCCUCUUCUCCUCUGAGGAAGUGAAGUCCGCUCCUGGGUAUCUUCCCUGAAGAUCCCUCCCAGCACAGCAAGUGAAUGCAGGACUAGGUGUAUCCUCUUCCACUGAAGCCAGAUGGAGGGAUCAGAUGAGAGCUGUGCCCAUGCUUUAUGAAUGCAUGGAUUGGACCAAGCCCAAAGCAUUUCUAUCUAAGUGUCCUUAGGUAUAAGUCUGGAAGCUGCCAGCAUCUGUAAAAUCUAAUCUUCUGAAAACCUAUACCUUAAGGGCUUCAGUUUUAAGCCUCUAUGUGCUUAAGCUAGGCCUAGAACGUUUCAGCUUCUGAGACUUACUGCUGAAUAAAUUUACUCUUUCUAAGCUCUUU